rnacentral:pre_miRNA from 1 species
AAAAGUUAAAUUUGUAUGAAGUCGGAAAGUUUGCCUAGGUUUGCCUUUAGGGACGCUGUUCCAACUGCAUACUAAUUUGAGUAA